UUCGCCUUCUGUGUCAGGGAGCUGAAACACCUAGCUCUCUGUAGACUGUAAGCACUGCUCUUUUGCAUAGCCUUCAAAGUCCUGAUCGACAACUGUGAUAAAAAUGAAACAACAAUCCAAGGUUUAAGUAACAGGCAUAUCGCAUACAGGAGUGUGAACACGCAUGGACAGACCUAAGCUGAAAGAAGAGGAUGUAGCAUUACAGCGAGUGCAAUUGGGUCGUGGUUGCUGAUCCCUAGGCAACCAAUGCUCCUGGACAAGCAGUGAAUUCAUCUUUACCUAUCCCCAUGAGAUCUGGACAAGUGCAAUAAUUUUUCUGAGUGCUGUGGAAAUUAUUGCCUGUAGCUUUGAGAAAGUACUAACAGUGUCUCAGUCUUGGUUGUGCUGAAGGUGGCAGCUGCCUUGCCACGAGACAGUGCUUAUCUUCUAAUUAAUGCCUCCCUGUUGGUGCACGCAGGGAAAUCAUACAGGAGCUGUUGCCUCUCAUUACAAAAAUGAUGCCCUACGAGUUUGGUGGAAAGCAACACCUAGCCUGCCAGCUGGGACCCAGCCUAUUGAGAAGCUCGGUGUCUGAGACAGUUCCUCCUUCCCACUACUGAUGGGCAGUUGGACAUGCACCUUGGCUGUGAACUGGUGCAGAGCUGGGUCCGCUGCCUACUGAAGUCACUUGAAGCUGGGGCACCGCUUCUGAUGUCACCUGCUUCAGCAAGGUCACCGUGACAGCAUGGCAUAAGGGGCUGUGCCAGCACAAGCUGUCCCUGCUUCAGGAAUUCGGCUUUCCCAGUCCACCACGUCACCCUUAGAAACCAGCUCACCUGCAGAACAGCCACUGCUACCCUCAUCUUGGGCUGGCACAAAGCACAGCACAGGCAGGACUGCUGUCCCCUGAGGACCUCCAAUAAACACCAAACAAAACAAUUUUUCUAGGAGGAGAAUGGGAGGUUUGACCCUCCAUCAAAAUAAGGCAAUAUAUAUAUUUUUUUCAUCCUGUUAUCAAUGAAAUAGUUACCACUAGUUAUUUCUAUUCACUCUUUCUUCCCUCUCCAUAUCAUCAUCUAGUUGCUAUUUUUCUUUAAUGCAUCCGUACAACUAAUCACCAGUUUUUUACACCCACAUUUUACCACCACCCUUUUAACACACAUCCCAGCAUUGAAUUACUUGAGUUCAGCAGAAAGUUGGCUCAGUCCUUCUGAAAAACAACAUGCCUUUCAACCUGUUCAGCAGGAAGCCUACCUCCACUCCUUAGUCCAUUCCAGAGAGGAAAGGGGUGGUGAAUAAUUCAUUAAAAUAUUCCUUCUCCUUCCACCAACACACCAAUUCACAAGAGAGAAAUAUCUCCUUCUACCUGUCUGUAUGUGCUUGUUCCUCAUCUCAGAAAGUAAAAUCAGCUGUGGUCAUCAAAGGCCCAGGCCUUUUCCUAUUGCAGAGGCAAUUUGGGCAUCCUGCUGAGAGCAGGGAAGUUAGGUUUGAGUGCAUGCAGCUGUAUUCUAGCUCCUGUGAGGGAAGGUGGUCCUAGGUCUGUUCCUGUCAGCAAUUGCUCCUCAAACAAGGAUGAAAGUGAAGGUCUACAAAUGCAUGGAGGAAGCUGUGUUUAGGCACUGAUUGUUGUAAUGUGUGCUUAAGUGUGUUCAUGUUUGGCACUAAAACAAAUGUCUGCCUUCUCUUAAAUGGAGGGACCAAAGAUCUGUGGGUUGGAUGAGGUUGUUGGGAAGAGGUAGGGCUGGCAUUCAGAGCAGAAUCCUUACUGCUAGGAUUUCUGGAGGUCCCCGGUCUACCAGAGUCUUUGUACAUGAACUUGGGCAAGGACUUGACUCCCCAUUGCACUUGGUCCCCCUGUCCUAAAAACCUGCCUCUCAGGAAUCAUGGAGAUCUGGUGUUGGUAAGCUUCUGUGGGAUCCUUUGAAAGAUGCAUGUGAAUGUUUCACUGUUGCAAGGGUGCAAAUGAAUAAGAAAGUAAGUCAUGUGAAAUGCUUAUACAUAGGUGCAUUUUGUGAAAUAUCCACCUUAGUAUACAGCACGCAAGGCCAACACACUUGAGCCAAGGUGAAAGUGUCUGAAGAAUAAUCUCUUAUUAUUCAGGAAGAGAAGCAAGCAGCUGUCUGGGCUGAACUUUUUUUUUCCUUCCCUUCAAAGCCUUUUCAA
ensembl:lncRNA